ACGAGUUUGAUCAUGGCUCAGGAUGAACGCUAGCGGCAGGCCUAACACAUGCAAGUCGAGGGUAGAGUUCUUCGGGACUUGAGACCGGCGCACGGGUGCGUAACGCGUAUGCAAUCUACCUUAUACAGGGGAAUAGCCCAGAGAAAUUUGGAUUAAUGCCCCAUAGUGUUAUCGAAUCGCAUGGUUUGAUAACUAAAGUUCCAACGGUAUAAGAUGAGCAUGCGUCCCAUUAGUUAGUUGGUAAGGUAACGGCUUACCAAGACAAUGAUGGGUAGGGGUCCUGAGAGGGAGAUCCCCCCACACUGGUACUGAGACACGGACCAGACUCCUACGGGAGGCAGCAGUGAGGAAUAUUGGUCAAUGGGCGCAAGCUGAACCAGCCAUGCCGCGUGCAGGAAGACGGUCCUAUGGAUUGUAAACUGCUUUUAUACAGGAAGAAACCCUCCCACGUGUGGGAGCUUGACGGUACUGUAGGAAUAAGGAUCGGCUAACUCCGUG
rnacentral:rRNA from 1 species